rnacentral:rRNA from 1 species
UGAGCAACCUGCCCCUGACUCUGGGAUAACCCCGGGAAACCGGAGCUAAUACCGGAUACGACACGCGAAGGCAUCUUCUGCGUGUAGAAAGAUUUAUCGGUCAGGGAUAGGCUCGCGGCCUAUCAGCUUGUUGGUGGGGUAACGGCCCACCAAGGCGACGACGGGUAGCCGGCCUGAGAGGGCGACCGGCCACACUGGGACUGAGACACGGCCCAGACUCCUACGGGAGGCA